GUGAGGAAUAUUGCCCAAUGGACGAAAGUCUGAGGCAGCGACGCCGCGUGGGUGAAGAAGGUUUUCGGAUCGUAAAACCCUUUUCUGUGUGACGAGAGAGGACGGUAGCACAGGAAUAAGUGUCGGCUAACUACGUGCCAGCAGCCGCGGUAAAACGUAGGACGCAAGCGUUAUCCGGAGUUACUGGGCGUAAAGCGCGCGCAGGCGGACUGUUAAGUUAGCCAUGAAAGCUCCCGGCUAAACUGGGAGAGGCUGGUUAAGACUGGCAGUCUUGAGUGAGUGAGAGGGAAGUGGAAUUCCGCGUGUAGUGGUGAAAUGCGUAGAGAUGCGGAGGAACACCAGAGGCGAAGGCGGCUUCCUGGCACUCAACUGACGCUGAGGCGCGAAAGCAUGGGUAGCGAACGGGAUUAGAAACCCGAGUAGUCC
rnacentral:rRNA from 1 species